GAGCGGAGGCUGUUGUGAUCCUGAACUCAAAGUCAUCCCUCUCCCCACAGUGUCCCUGGGAGUCUCACCCUCCUAACAUGCUACCUCCUGCUUCCUCAUCACCAGAUGGCUGGUUCUCUCAUCCAGUGUGGAGGAGGUGCCUGGGAAGGUGGUUCCCCACUGCAGCGCACGUCCUGAUGGAGGUGCAAAGAACAACUAUGGACUACAUAUUAUGCUAGUGUUGGGAAAGAUGAGUAAGAUAAAUAUAUUAGGAGCUCAAAUAUAGAAAAAUAGGCAGAUAUAUAAGGAAAAAUUAAUCAUAGUAGACUAUGAUACAUGCUGCACAAUUUCAUUUAUAUACCAUUUUGGAAAAAGACAAAUUAGAGAUGAAAAGAGAGCAGUGAUUGGCAGGGACUCUGGGCAGGGAUUGAUAGCAAAGAGGUGUGAAGGCUUUGGGGGAUAAUGAAAUGUACAGUAAAAAGUGAAUUUUACUGAAUAUAUUAUAACUCAGUAUUUCAAACAGGAAAACAAAUCACGAUGGAACAUUGUAGGUGUUGUAACAAUGUGAUGCACAAAAAUACACCAAGGGAGAAGCAGGUAGCUCUUCUGUAAAAGUAAAAGGGGAUCAGAGAAGUGAACACUGGACUUGUGGUUCUGCAGAUGACAGGAAGGAGAGGACAUUCCAAACUGAGGGACCAGAAUUCCCAGAGGUACUCAGUUCUAACACUCUGUAUUCAGUCAGCUGAUCUUCACUUGGUACAGUUGGUGCAGUCACAGGAUUCUGAGCAAG
rnacentral:lncRNA from 1 species